rnacentral:rRNA from 1 species
UACAGAGGUGGCAAGCGUUGUUCGGAAUUAUUGGGCGUAAAGAGCUCGUAGGCGGUCUGUUACGUCCGCUGUGAAAACCCAGGGCUUAACCCUGGGCUUGCAGUGGAUACGGGUAGACUAGAGGCAGGUAGGGGAGAAUGGAAUUCCCGGUGUAGCGGUGAAAUGCGCAGAUAUCGUAAGGAAGACCAGUGGCGAAGGCGGGUCUCUAGUACGGUACUGACGCUGAGACGCGAAAGCGUGGGGAGCGAACAGG